GACGAACGCUGGCGGCAUGCCUAAUACAUGCAAGUCGAGCGAACAGAUGAAGUGCUUGCGCUUCUGACGUUAGCGGCGAACGGGUGAGUAACACGUAAGGAAUCUACCUAUAAGCGGGGGAUAACAUUCGGAAACGGGUGCUAAUACCGCAUAAUAUCUUCUUCCGCAUGGAAGAAGAUUGAAAGACGGCUCUGCUGUCACUUAUAGAUGACCUUGCGGUGCAUUAGUUAGUUGGUGGGGUAAUGGCCUACCAAGACGAUGAUGCAUAGCCGGCCUGAGAGGGUGAGCGGCCACAUUGGGAGUGAGACACGGCCCAAACUCCUACGGGAGGCAGCAGUAGGGAAUCUUCCGCGAUGGGCGAAAGCCUGACGGAGCAAUGCCGCGUGAGUGAAGAAGGCCUUCGGGUCGUAAAACUCUGUUAUAAGAGAAGAACAAAUUGUAGAGUAACUGCUACAGUCUUGACGGUAUCUUAUCAGAAAGCCACGGCUAACUACUUGCCAGCCGCCGCGGUAA
rnacentral:rRNA from 1 species